GAUGAAGAACGUAGCGAAAUGCGAUAAGUAGUGUGAAUUGCAGAAUUCAGUGAAUCAUCGAAUCUUUGAACGCACAUUGCGCCCUUUGGUAUUCCUUAGGGCAUGCCUGUUCGAGCGUCAUUUAAACCUUCAAGCUCAGCUUGGUGUUGGGUGACUGUCCGCUUCACCGCGGACUCGCCUCAAAAUUAUUGGCGGCCGGUACAUUGGCUUCGAGCGCAGCAGAAACGCGAACUCGGGCCCGUCGUAUUGGCUCCCAGAAGCUAUCUUCACAAGUUUGACCUCGGAUCAGGUAGGGAUACCCGCUGAACUUAAGCAUAUCAAUAAGCGGAGGA
rnacentral:misc_RNA from 1 species